rnacentral:lncRNA from 1 species
CUAUAAUGCACGGAUUCGCCGGAAAUCACCACAUUGCAGUAUCCGAUUCGCUCAAGGGUGCUAUUCGCGUGGGAUACGCACGGGAUUCGCCACAUGGCGAAUCCCUCAAAAAAAAAAAAAUGGGUGCGCGAAUCCGGUGCGCCAAUCUCACGAAUCCGGCGGUGGCGAGGGAGCGCGACUGCGUCUGAAGAUGGAGGUUGAGCGCGGCGGCGUCUGAAGAUGGACUUCGUCGAGGGAGCGUCUGGAAGUCGUCGAAGCUCAGCCCGGAGUUGGAGCGCCUGGAAGUCGUCGAGGGAGCGGUAGAGCGCCUGCCCCAGCUCAUCCACCGAGAUUGGGGAAAGAAAAGGGGGGGGGAGGGAGUCGGUGGAGCGCCUGGAAGAGAAAGAAGGAAGAAAAAGAAAGAAAAGAGGGGGGUGGGGGAGUCGGUGGGGUUGGGUAAGGAAGAAAGAAGAAAAAGAAAGAAGGGGGGAGGGAGAGAGAGAGUUUGUCGGCUGAGUGGGGGUGGGGUAGGUAGGUUUUAAUUUUUUUUUUUGGUUUUGUUUUUUUAAAGUAUUUUUAUUUAAAUUUUUGUUUCUUUUUUAAAAAAAUUUAAAAUAGAAUCGUAUAAAUGAAAUUAAGGGGGGUGUAUUCGUUGUGGAUUUCCACAGACUUUAAAAAGUCCAUGGAAUUUAAAUUCCAU